ensembl:rRNA 5S_rRNA 5S ribosomal RNA
GCUUACGGACAUGCCAGCUGAAGUUUGCUCAAUCUUGUCUGAUCUCAGAUGCUAAGAAGGCUUGGGCCUGGUUAGUACUUGGAUGGGAGACUACCUGGGAAUACCAGGUGCUGUAAGCU